rnacentral:rRNA from 1 species
AUGCUUAUAAUAGUUGUUAAUUUAAACUUUGGUCUCCAUUUGCAGGUUGAGAGUAUAGUAUUAAGCAUCAUUUCGAUGCUUUCUAGUCCAAAUGAUGAAUCACCGGCAAAUAUUGAAGCAGCUAAGGACUGGAGAGAGAAGCAGGAUGAGUUCAAGAAGAAGGUCAGGCGCGCUGUACGGAAAUCCCAGGAAAUGCUCUGA